rnacentral:rRNA from 1 species
UCGAUGAAGAACGCAGCAAACUGUGCGUCAUCGUGUGAACUCCUCCUCACUCCUUAUCAACUUUGGAGAAGAUGGACUGGCACGCCCCCCCGCGCACCCACAAGCUUGGAACAACACCACGCAAAAAGGCUCUGAGAACACGCAA